rnacentral:pre_miRNA from 1 species
UAGCUACAAAAUAACAUAUUCUGUAGCCAGUUUAAGUUACAAUAAUAACUAUGUUAAUUUAUGAGAUUAUAGUAACUUCUUACUAAGUGGUUUGCUGUAAUGUUAUGGUAAAUAUCCCCAUGUGUUAUAGUAACCCAACUAUCAUAAAUAUGUAUAUAUAUUAUCGUAAAUUAGUAUAUAAAACUAUCGUAAAUAGAAGUGGCUAUAGAAUAACUUAUUUUGUAGCUA